rnacentral:tRNA from 1 species
GGAGUGAGGGUGAUCGGAAGACCCAAAAAGGACUCAUAAUCCGUCGGCCGUGGGUUCGAGUCCCACCCUCCC